AGAACGAACGCUGGCGGCAGGCUUAACACAUGCAAGUCGAGCGCCCCGCAAGGGGAGCGGCAGACGGGUGAGUAACGCGUGGGAACAUACCCUCCGGUUCGGAAUAGCUCAGGGAAACUUGGAUUAAUACCGGAUACGGCCUAGCGGCGAAAGAUUCAUCGCCGGAGGAUUGGCCCGCGUCUGAUUAGCUAGUUGGUGGGGUAAUGGCCCACCAAGGCGACGAUCAGUAGCUGGUCUGAGAGGAUGAUCAGCCACAUUGGGACUGAGACACGGCCCAAACUCCUACGGGAGGCAGCAGUGGGGAAUAUGGACAAUGGGCGCAAGCCUGAUCCAGCCAUGCCGCGUGAGUGAUGACGGCCUUAGGGUUGUAAAGCUCUUUCGCUAGGGACGAUAAUGACGGUACCUAGACAAGAAGCCCGGCUAACUUCGCGCCAGCAGCCGC
rnacentral:rRNA from 1 species